rnacentral:hammerhead_ribozyme from 1 species
AUCCAGCUGACGAGUCCCAAACAAGACGGAACGCACGUCUUGGAU